rnacentral:rRNA from 1 species
UACGUAGGGGGCAAGCGUUGUCCGGAAUUAUUGGGCGUAAAGAGCGUGUAGGCGGUAAAUUAAGUUGGGUGUAAAAGGCAGCGGCUUAACUGCUGUAAGCAUUCAAAACUGAUAUGCUUGAGUGCAGGAGAGGAAAGUGGAAUUCCCGGUGUAGCGGUGGAAUGCGUAGAGAUCGGGAGGAACACCAGUGGCGAAGGCGACUUUCUGGCCUGCAACUGACGCUGAGACGCGAAAGCGUGGGUAGCAAACAGG